rnacentral:rRNA from 1 species
CCUGAUAUCGAAGUCAUCUGCAGAAUAAUCCAGAAAAGCCUCCGGAGGUUAAUCCAUAACUGACCGUACUAAAACUGACACAGGUAGGCGAGGCGCGUAGCCUCAGGCGCUCGGGAGAAUGGUGGUUAAGGAACUCUGCAAAUUGACCCCGUAACUUCGGGAGAAGGGGUGCCCUUUUAGGUGUUAAAGCCAUAAAGGGUCUCAGUAAAUCGGCUCUAGCGACUGUUUACUAAAAACACAGGACUCUGCGAACACGUAAGUGGAUGUAUAGAGUCUGACGCCUGCUCGGUGUCGGUAGGUUAAGGAAGAGGGUCAAGGCCUCACGGCCUGAAGCUCGCAACCAAAGCCCCGAUAAACGGCGGCCGUAACUAUGACGGUCCUAAGGUAGCGAAGUUCCUUGUCGGGUAAGUUCCGACCUGCAUGAAUGGCGUAACGACUGGAGCACUGUCUCAACCACCAACCCGGUGAAAUUGACGUAGUGGUGAAGAUGCCACUUACCCGCGGCUAGACGGAAAGACCCCAUGAACCUUUACUGUAGGCUGAUAUUGGGUUUAGAUAGCUCUUGUGUAGGAUAGGUGGGAGGCGAUGAAGCUGUAACGCUAGUUAUGGUGGAGCCAACGUUGAAAUACCACCCUGGAUCUAUUUGAAUUCUAACACCGUUCCCUGAAUCGGGGCGGUGGAAAGUGUCAGUUGGGCAGUUUAACUGGGGCGGUCUCCUCCCAAAGAGUAACGGAGGAGCCCAAUGGUACCCUCAGCCUGGUUGGCAAUCAGGCUUAGAGCGCAAAGGUAUAAGGGUGCUUGACUGCGAGACUUAUAAGUCGAGCAGAUACGAAAGUAGGGCUUAGUGAUCCGGCGGUGCUGGAUGGAAAGGCCGUCGCUCAACAGAUAAAAGGUACUCUGGGGAUAACAGGCUUAUCGCAUCCGAGCGUCCAUAGCGGCGAUGCGGUUUGGCACCUCGAUGUCGGCUCAUCACAUCCUGGGGGUGAAGAAGCUCCCAAGGGUUCGGCUGUUCGCCGAUUAAAGUGGUACGUGAGCUGGGUUUAAACCGUCGUGAGACAGGUUGGUCCCUAUCUACCGUGGGCGUACGAGACUUGAGGGAUUUUCUCUUUAGUACGAGAGGAUUUUGAGGGACGCACCGCUGGUGCGCCAGUUGUCACGCUCGUGGCAUCGCUGGGUAGCUAUGUACGGUUAGGAUAAGCGCUGAAAGCAUAUAAGCGCGAAGCCAGUCCCAAGAUGAGGUCUCGAUGAGUCCCCUUGAAGACUACAAGGUUGAUAGGCCGGAAGUGUACGGCGAGUAAUCGCUUAAGCGGACCGGUACUAACGGACGAACGCUUGAUCAC